GUGGCUGUAUUUGGAAGCGGUUGCAUUUUUUAUAACGUGAAGGCAACAGACAACACCCACAUAAAUAAACUCCGUGGCUCCUGCCGACAGCACCUGUCCAGUGAGCAGGGCUCUGUGCCACGAUGCCACACAUG
ensembl:scaRNA